ACCAAUAGCAGAGCAGGAAGCACAGCCACGAACCGGCUGGCCAAUGACAGCAGAUGUACGAUGUCUGGUGAGAGAAUAUGAACCAAUAGGAUUGCGGCAGUAGUUGGUGUCGCCGCAGACGUGCGCAGUGGCCAGCGGGUGGAGGGAGGCGGGGCCAGCUUUGUUCAUCUGAUCUGCACAUCGUCACCCCACUGCUCCACUGUACUCUGACACAGGAAACCAAACUCUGCUGCACUUCUGAACGGCGAAUGAAGCUCCCGAGGAGCAAACAGUAUCCAUGUGACUUAGAGAAACAAAAGAAACAUCUUUAUUGUCUUCUGAUUAAAACCUUAAAAUGAAAAAAAAAA